UUGACCUCGGAUCAGGUAGGGAUACCCGCUGAACUUAAGCAUAUCAAUAAGCGGAGGAAAAGAAACCAACAGGGAUUGCCUCAGUAACGGCGAGUGAAGCGGAAAAGCCCUCCAAUAAAA
rnacentral:rRNA from 1 species